rnacentral:rRNA from 1 species
AUUGAACGCUGGCGGCAUGCCUUACACAUGCAAGUCGAACGGUAACGCGGGGCAACCUGGCGACGAGUGGCGAACGGGUGAGUAAUGCAUCGGAACGUGCCCAAUAGGGGGGGAUAGCCCGGCGAAAGCCGGAUUAAUACCGCAUACGACCGACGGGUGAAAGCAGGGGAUCGCAAGACCUUGCGCUAAUGGAACGGCGCAUGUCAGAUUAGGUUGUUGGUGGGGUAAAAGCCCACCAAGCCGACGAUCUGUAGCUGUUCUGAGAGGACGACCAGCCACACUGGGACUGAGACACGGCCCAGAGUCCUACGGGAGGCAGCAGUGGGGAAUUUUGGACAAUGGGCACAAGCCUGAUCCAGCCAUGCCGCGUGCGGGAUGAAGGCCUUCGGGUUGUAAACCGCUUUUGUUAGGGAAGAAAUCUUUUGAGCUAAUACCUCGGAAGGAUGACGGUACCUAAAGAAUAAGCACCGGCUAACUACGUGCCAGCCGCCGCCGUAA